rnacentral:tRNA from 3 species
AUAAGAUUAAGUUAAUUUAAGACUGUAUGUUUUCAAAACAUAAAGUAGUAUUAGUGCUAUCUUAUG